GGCGGAUUAAUACCGUAUGCAGUCAUCAGGGAGCAUUUUUUGAUGACGAAAGGUUUGGCGGUAUGGGAUGGGGAUGCGUCUGAUUAGCUUGUUGGCGGGGUAACGGCCCACCAAGGCGACGAUCAGUAGGGGUUCUGAGAGGAAGGUCCCCCACAUUGGAACUGAGACACGGUCCAAACUCCUACGGGAGGCAGCAGUGAGGAAUAUUGGUCAAUGGGCGAGAGCCUGAACCAGCCAAGUAGCGUGAGGGAUGACUGCCCUAUGGGUUGUAAACCUCUUUUGUUUGGGAAUAAAGUGCGCCACGUGUGGCGCAUUGCAUGUACCAUUUGAAUAAGGACCGGCUAAUUCCGUGCCAGCAGCCGCGGUAAUACGGAAGGUCCGGGCGUUAUCCGGAUUUAUUGGGUUUAAAGGGAGCGCAGGCCGUAGGCUAAGCGUGCCGUGAAAUACCGUCGCUCAACGGCGGCCGUGCGGCGCGAACUGGUCUACUUGAGUACGCGGGACGUUGGCGGAAUUCGUGGUGUAGCGGUGAAAUGCUUAGAUAUCACGAAGAACUCCGAUUG
rnacentral:rRNA from 1 species